GCGGGAGUCCGAUAGCGGCCAAUUCGGCAAGGUUGAGGGCCUUGUGGCUUAGUGCCUUUCGGCGGUUCGAAUCCGCCCUCCCGCA
rnacentral:tRNA from 1 species